rnacentral:lncRNA from 10 species
CUUGGAGAGGCCCUGCACGAACUCCAUCCCCCGCUGGCUGCUGAGCUUCCGCACCAGGUACACCCGGUGCCAGUCGUUCUCCACCCGGAUACAGAACUGCUUGACUUGCUGCAGGACACAAGGCCAACCAGAGGGCAUCGGACCUACCCACAGGCAUUCACAGAAACACAUCCAGGGGAGAGGGGAUGUAGAAAAGCCCAGUAGUAGUCUAUUCGAAGAACUAGUUUCCCAUACUUCCUGAAUUUCUAAAUAACGGAGUCUUUAAACCCAAAGGAAAGCAAGGCAGAGAAGACUUGCCUGGGCCUCCCUCAGGCUCCGAGAGGAAAUCUGCAGCUCUGUCGAGGCAGAGGCGGAUCCGGGCCACCUCUUGCAGGUGGUUCAGUUCAUCAUUUCUGGAGUAAGCACUGGUCUUCUCAAGUAUUGAAUCCUGAGGAACAAGGAACAAGAAAGAAAAGGAUAUUAUUUUUUUAAACAUGGAUGCCCCAAGCUUCUACAGUCGCCAAUGUGACUGUGGAGAAGGAAGGAUAGAAGAAUGUUACUGUAGGUUUCAGUGUAAAUUUCUUGACUUAUGGAAACCUAACAUUCCUUUUUAUUUUAAGGACAAGAAGGAGGGGAAAAGUGAACCUAUGAGGAAAAAAAAUUAUCUAAUUUAUUUACAUUAUAAAAAUUU